UUCAUAGUUGAUCAUUAUUACACACACACACACACGCACACGCACGCACACACACACACACACACACAAACCUGGAGAAUCUGAUUUUGUCGUUGGGAACAACAUUCCAAGCUAUCAGAACAGGUUGGUGGUGACUCUAUUUCAACCAGUAACCAAAAAGGAACUCUUAUUCCCAGUCCUCAAGUGGAAUUCAACGAAACAGGUCUGACACUUGUUAUUUGUUUGCUGGUACUUUAAGGAGGAAGAUAAUUAGGUACUCAACCAUCGAGGGCAGUUGUAGUGUGACAAUUGAGAGCUAAUUCACAAACAAAUGUUCGUCAAGAAAGCAUUAUUUCUGUAUUAAUGUAAGCCUUUUGGUUAUAAUGAAAAUAAAGGCAAAACAAUGGUUUCUUAUUCUGCAGGCUAGGCAAUAGGAAUUUAACAGAAUUAAAGUUAGAUGUAAGUGUUCUCUGUUCUGUGGGUUCACAAAACACUUUCUCUCACCUGAGAUGACUCACAAUGUCACACCACAUGUCACAAGCAAUAUGGCCUGUCGGCACUCGAACACGUGCACGCACACGGAAGCACACACAAGGACACAGUCACACACACACACUGAUGCAACACUUUGUGGCCAAAGUAGCAGGCAUCUUACAGACUGCAGUUCAGCUUGCUAGAAACACAAAUAGAGUUCCGUAAUAGAAAUGGCAGGGUUUCUGGUGAGAGUUGACAACUCACCAUCCAGUAGUCUAGGACUAUACUUCUUAUGGUAGAAGGAAGUGUUUUCAGCAUUGGAUGUUUUACAGUUGAAUUUGAAGGUGCUUUGUCUAUCUUGAUAUUCAAGUUUGCCAAGAUUCCAAAGAAAGGAAUCAAACAUGUUGUACUGAUUUGUUUAUCCAUCUUCAUCCAUGAUACAUAGUCAGAUAACUCCACUUUACAAAACAGUAAUUUUAGGGUCUGUAAUACACAUCCGUCUUUGACAUGGUAACAUUGUUACUAAUCUCACAAAUUAUAUUUUUUAUUAAUUAGCUAAAGUCUGAUGGCAGACAGGCUUAACUCUGGACAAAUGGGGCGUUUAACUCUCUUUGUUUCGAACAAUCAUGUGGCUCGAGGAAGGACUACUACUUUUUUUGGCCAAAAGUAGUAGUAAACUGUACUAGCCACUGCAUGAAUACAGUCAUUCACUCACAAUCCCCUUCCAACAACCUCCUCCUCUACGGAGUGAUGUUCUCUUCAUUAUGAAUCUCCAUACCGCAACAGGAAACAAGGCUUUACUCCGCCCUUUCAGUUUCUGAUUUCCGGCUCGAGUUCCGUUAUGUCUGGUGGAGAUUUCACCAAAAACGAACCAAACAAUGGAUACUGCGAAUCGAGAGGUAGAAACAUUUCCUGUUGCAGGUCAGUUCUACCUAAACUGGGCCACCCACAAAUCCUAUUCUUGGAAACUGGCAUGUGUGGGUUUCCGUUAGCUGGGACAGAUUAAGCAAAUCAUGUAAAACAUCUGAUAACUCAAAGAAAGAAGGAGCAAAAGCGCUAAAGAAAGAAUGAGUGAAAGAGCUAAAGAAGGAGCUAAAGAAAGAAUGAGUGAAAGAGCUAAAGAAGGAGCUAAAGAAAGGUGGAGCGAAAGAGCUAAGGAAAGAAGGAGCAACAAAGAGAGCGAAAUAAAGAUGAAAUGAAAGAGCAAAUAAAGAAAGAAAGAAAAAUAGCAAAAAAAUAAAGAAUGAAAGUAAGAUUGAAAGAAGGGACAAAGGAAGCAAGAAAGAUCAAAAGACAGAUCAUAAGAAUGAAAGAUCUAAGGGAAAGAGCGAAAGAACGAAAGAACGAAAGAUAGCGAAAGUAAGAAAACAAAAGACAAAUGGAAAGAAAGAGCAAAAGAAGCAAAGAAUGAAAGAAUGCCCCCCCCCCCCCCAACGGAAGCUAGUGGCUUUACUGGGCAGCUCCCAGGGUCCAUCUUCUUCAGUGGUGCUGACACAAGUGGUGCAGCCCUGCACUAGAGCAGCCUGACCCCCCCUCCGCCCCCAGGACGGGCUCUGUAUUCAGUCGAUCUCAUAUCGGAGCAUCUUACCUGUUGAUGUCAUGACUUGGCUCGCUUGUUAUUACAUGUGGGUGGACGGAAAUUCCCCUACGUAGCCAGGAGUGCUGGGGUGGGGGAAUUAAAGACAGUGUGCACGCCUGUCUGUGCGCGCGCUAUAAAGAGGUCUUUGUUUUGUGAGGUCACAGUAUGUGUCAACCGUUGAUUGUGUCAUGUCCACCUUACUGUACCCGUUUGUCUUCAGGAAUAACAUAAUCCUUGGGUUAUCUAACAUGUUCAUUUUUCUCGUUUGCGUCCACAUUUUUUGGGGUCUAAGGGCAAAUUUGGGGUAGGGCUCUGGUUAUUUUAAUCUGUUUAAUUGGAACAGGAAUUUACAGUCUUUGUUAUGUGACAAUGUGUUGAUCAAUGAUGGGGGCAGAGGCUUUCCCAGAAUAACAAACAUCCCCCUUACAUACAUCAUUAUUUAAGGAGAGACAAAUAGAGAUUGGGAGCAGGAGAAACAGAACAACAGAGAGAAAGAGAGUAAAAAUAGUGUUAUCCGAAAAUAAUAAACAGAGAGAGAGGGGGGAUAUUUUGGACAAAAGCUUGUCCUCUCGAACCAAGGGUGAGAGAGAGAGAGAGAGAGAGAGAGAGAGAGAGAGAGAGAGAGAGAGAGAGAGAGAGAGAGAGAGAGAGAGAGAGAGAGAGAGAGACAGAGAGAGACAGAGAGACACAGACAGAGAAAGACAGAGAAAGACAGAGACAAAAA